CACAUACAAUCACAUGUGCAUACUCACAUAUACCCAUGCAAACAAUGUGAAAGGCAAACAUCAGGAUUGUCAGGAUCUCCCACAGCAGCCCGUGCACCAUGGGGGCUUUCGUCCUUUUGAUGAUCACCCUUACUGCAGGAAUUGCUGUUGCACAGAUUUGCCCAAAAAGAUGCCUGUGCCAAAAUCUGGCUCCAUCACUUGCUAUCAUGUGUGCCAAGACUGGGCUGCUCUUUGUGCCAUCGGUCAUAGACCCUCGGACAGUGGAACUCAGACUCACUGACAAUUUCAUUACAGUCAUUAGAAGAAGAGACUUCACAAACAUGACUAGGCUGCUUCACCUUACUCUCUCCAGGAAUACUAUCAGUCAUAUAACCCCAUAUACAUUCGCUGAUCUCCGGGGGUUGAGAGCUCUGCAUCUGGACAAUAACCGUAUCCUCUCCAUGGGAGAUGAACAGCUUAGAGGUCUUCAGAAUUUGAGACAUCUGAUUCUUAGCAACAACCAGCUCAGCACUAUUUCUCCGGGCUCUUUCCAGGAUUUUGUUGGCACUCUAGAAGAUCUAGACCUUUCAUACAACAACCUAGUGAAGGUCCCUUGGGAAACCAUAUGUAAAUUGAUGAAUGUUAACUCUCUGAGCCUUGAUCACAACCUAAUUGAAUAUGUUCCAGGGGGGGUCUUCACCAACUUGCACAAACUAGCUCGACUAGAUAUGACCUCCAAUAAGUUGAAGACCAUUCCCCCUGACCCUUUGUUCCUACGAAUUCCAGUUUAUGCUAAGUCAAAAGGAUCACCUUUGUCAUCACUUGUACUUGGCUUUGGUGGGAACCCAUUGCACUGCAAUUGUGAGCUGCUGUGGCUUCGACGCUUCACCAGAGAGGAUGAUCUAGAGACAUGUGCAUCACCAUCUAACCUUCUGGGAAAAUAUUUUUGGAGUAUUUCUGAGGAAGAGUUCAUGUGUGACCCACCAGUAGUAACUCAUCACUCAAUGCGUACUUCAGUUAUGGAGGGAGAAGAAGUUGUGCUUAAAUGUAAGGCUGUAGGAGAUCCUGAGCCCUCAAUUCACUGGGUGUCACCAGAGGGUAAAGUGGUGUCAAACUCAUCCAGGGCUGUAUCAUAUGAGAAUGGAACACUGGAAAUCACUAUCACAACUGUAAGAGACACUGGCUCUUUUACUUGCAUUGCUUCCAAUACAGCAGGUGAUGCCACAGCAUCUGUGGAGUUGGUUGUCAGUCCCCUUCCUCAGCCAGCCAAUGCCAGUCAAAGGCACCACAGGCUAGACAAAGGACCUUCUGACAUUCUCACCCCAGCAAAACCUGGAACUGCACAAAAUGAAUCCAGCAGCCACUCUGACAGAAAGGUGGUAAUGGUGCAUCACAGUCACAAAUCAGCUUUAAUUCAGUGGUUUUUGGAUUGGAAUAUACCAGGGAUUCGCAUGUACCAGAUUCAAUACAACAGUUCUUCUGAUGAAAGCCUCAUAUACAGGAUGAUCAACCCCAGUAACAGGAGCUUCCUUGUCAAUGACCUGGCUCCAGGACGUGAGUAUGACCUCUGUGUCCUAGCUGUAUAUGAUGAUGGAAUGACCUCACUGACUGCAACACGAUUAGUAGGGUGUGUCCAAUUCAGCACUCAGGAGGAGAGUGGGCAGUGCCAGCAGCUCAAUACUCAGUUCCUGGGAGGUACAAUGAUUAUCAUUAUAGGAGGAAUUAUUGUGGCAUCUGUGCUAGUGUUUAUCAUCAUCCUGAUGAUCAGGUACAAGGUAUACAGUGGCCAAGAGGAGGUGGGAAAAACCAGGGUCAGCAAUGUGUAUUCUCAGACCAAUGGACAUCAAGCUAUGGCAUGUGCCCGCUCUUGUGCCAAGCUGGCUGGAGGUGCUGAGGAGUUGCCCCUUAAUACAGAGUUUGCUACAGCAGAAGAGGUGCUAUCCAACAAAACAACCAAGCAUAUGUGUGAAACAAGGAGCAAUGCUCCAGAGCAAGGAAGCAAAGCAUUUGAGGAAAAGAGUACUUCCAGUGAGUGGACUGAUAUCAACAUUUGACUGAUGUUCCCAAUGAGCAUUGUUCAAGCUAGUUGAGCAGCUGCGAUGAGGACGAAGGAGGGGUUUAUCACCCCAGCAGUACCUUUUCAGAAAGGGAUUCAGAUGUUAGGUCUUGUUGCACAAGUCCAACAAAGGUCUUGUGCCAAAGAGCGGGCACCCCUAACACUAGUUCUUCAUCUUGUGCCAGAAACCUGGGAGACAGCAGAACCAUCUGAUCUGAAAGAAGAGAAUCAGGAAGGAUGAAGAGCUAAGUAGACAGGAAAUCCUGACGGCUAUCUGACAGUUAAUUGCUGAUUCAUCGGGUGAGAUGGAGCACGGCAGUUUUCCGACCCUCUCAUCGGUAGUCUGAUUGCUGUUGCAGGCUAGUUACCAUGGAAAUCGGACGGCUGAGGUUUCUGAUCCCCUCUUUUCCUUGCUGCGUGACUCUCACAUAAACAUGUCGAGCCCCCCCCUUACUGCUCAUCUUCUCCAAAAACACUAAACAGAAUAUUAGAAGAGGUCCCAUUCCCUUUUCUAGCCCCAACCCCAGAGGCUGGAAACCAUUUUAUAGUUUUUUAAGAUAUAUAUAUAUAUAUAUACUUUUGUAAUCUGCUCAGAUGUUUUUAAUAAAAAUUGCUUAAGAAGAACAGGCUCCAGUGCUGCAGAUUUCUGUAUGCAGAGAACUGGGUCAUGUCAUAUGAAACGACA